GUGCCAGCAGCCGCGGUAAUACCAGCUCCGCGAGUGGUCGGGGUGCUUACUGGGCCUAAAGCGCCCGUAGCCGGCCCGGUAAGUCGUCCCUGAAAUCCACGGGCUCAACCCGUGGGCUGGGGACGAUACUGCCGGGCUUGGGGGCGGGAGAGGCCGAGGGUACUCCCGGGGUAGGGGCGAAAUCCGAUAAUCCCGGGAGGACCACCAGUGGCGAAGGCGCUCGGCUGGAACGCGCCCGACGGUGAGGGGCGAAAGCUGGGGGAGCAAAGGGGAUUAGAUACCCCUGUAGUCCCAGCUGUAAACGAUGCGGGCUAGCUGUUGGGCGGGCUUAGAGCCCGCCCAGUGGCGGAGGGAAGCCGUUAAGCCCGCCGCCUGGGGAGUACGGCCGCAAGGCUGAAACUUAAAGGAAUUGGCGGGGGGGCACACAAGGGGUGGAGCCUGCGGCUCAAUUGGAGUCAACGCCGGGAACCUCUACCGGGGGCGACAGCAGGAUGACGGCCAGGCUAACGACCUUGCCCGACGCGCUGAGGGGAGGUGCAUGGCCGUCGCCAGCUCGUGCUGUGAAGUGUCCUGUUAAGUCAGGCAACGAGCGAGACCCCCGCCCCUAGUUGCGACCCUGCGGGCGACCGCGGGGGCACACUAGGGGGACUGCCGCCGCUAAGGCGGAGGAAGGAGGGGGCCACGGCAGGUCAGCAUGCCCCUAAACCCCCGGGCUGCACGCGGGCUACAAUGGCGGGGACAGCGGGAUCCGACCCCGAAAGGGGGAGGCAAUCCCUGAAACCCCGCCGUAGUUGGGAUCGGGGGCUGAAACUCGCCCCCGUGAACCUGGAAUCCCUAGUAACCGCGCGUCACCAUCGCGCGGUGAAUACGUCCCUGCCCCUUGUACACACCGCCCGUC
rnacentral:rRNA from 1 species